GAGAUGUGAACAACUCCUGAAGAGCAGGGCUGCAGCCAGGCUGCUGGCAAACACCUAAGCCAGGUUGUGCACAUCUCUUUCAAACAAACUGGAUCUUCAUUUACAGCUGUGUAAAUCCCAAGAGGAAUGUAAUGGAUGUGGGACAGAGGACUGACAGUCACCCAUCUUUUGAGUGGGUGUCCCAUUGAGUGUUACAUGCAUGUGCAGAAGUGUAACCAAGAGAGGAUUGAUCCACCACAUCCAUGGAUAUUAUAAGGAUAGGGAGAGAGAGACAGAAGAACACAACACGUGAUAGUUCCAGAGUUAUCUCUACAACCUCCUGCAAGUCCAAAAACUCCCUUGAAACAAGGACCGGCAAAGCAACCUGAGAUAAGACCAAGAAUGGAUAUAAAAUUGCCACUUCUACCAACCAACGUGGCUAAAGCUCAUUCCUGAUCUGAUGGAAACACGAAAAGUAAGAUAUAUAGGAUCA